UACGUAGGUGACAAGCGUUGUCCGGAUUUACUGGGCGUAAAGAGCGCGCAGGCGGUCGAUCAAGUCGAGUGUGAAAGCCCCCGGCUCAACUGGGGAGGGUCAUUCGAUACUGAUCGACUCGAAGGCAGGAGAGGGUAGUGGAAUUCCCGGUGUAGUGGUGAAAUGCGUAGAUAUCGGAAGGAACAUCAGUGGCGAAAGCGACUUCCUGGACCAGUACCGACGUUCAGGCACGAAAGCGUGGGGAGCAAACAGG
rnacentral:rRNA from 2 species